AAGUCGUAACAAGGUUUCCGUAGGUGAACCUGCGGAAGGAUCAUUAACACUUUAUCCUUUAUAUACAACUGAGAACAUGUACCUCUACCUGUUAGUUGAACUCAUUAGUCAGCGUAUAGUGUAUGGUGAAGGUAGCGUUUAAACGCGUUACUAGCUAUCACUGACUAGAAUCCUUCACGGGAUUCAGGUUUAAUUUUCAGGCUAUUUUUACCAUCACCAUGGUUAUAUUUCAUAUUAACAAAUUUAACUAAUUUUGAACUAAUCUAUGCUUCACUAGUAUUUUAUUAUACUAGUAGAAUCAAGUUUAUACGAAACUAAGAACAACUCUUAGCAAUGGAUAUCUUGGUUCCC
rnacentral:misc_RNA from 1 species